GUCACAUCCCUCUCACCGCCUCGCGGUGUCCCGGUUGGCUGGGGACAGAUGCUCCCCGUGGCGCACCAGCUCCUCUGGAGUCCCUUUGAAGAGUUUUGCUCAGAGACCCCCUUCCCAUAGGUCGCCCUCAACCUCCGCGCCAUGUUCCCGCUUCCUCCCUCCGGGCGCCUGGGGCUCGCUGGUUCAUCUUAGUCGCGGGAAGCCAGGGGCUGCACAGGGGCCACAGCCUGUGGUGAAGGGGGGCAUCCACUCACCAGAGAGGCUGGAGGUGAUGGUCUGGAAGCUGAUGGCCGGCGAUCUGCACUUCCAGCUGAGAUGCGGGCGGUGGUGGUGGUGGUAAAGGAAGAGAGGAGGCAGCGGCUGCUGCUGAAUCGCUCCUCAAUUAUUCAGAUCUUAAACCCCUCCGCACCCCUCCAGCGCCUGCCAGUCUGCUCUCCGGCUUGCCUAUCUCCUCCUCCUUGCAGUCACGUGGCUAGCCCAGCCCCUUCCAUUACUGGGGACCAGCGUCGCUCCCGAACAGCCCCCUCCCGCUUCCGCCGGGUCUGUCACUCACCAGCCUUCCUGAGCUUCCAGGUGAGGCCUCCAGCCUCCAGUGUCUCCCGCUGCGUGGAGCAGAGGAGACCGGUUCUGUGCCCUGAGAAUGCAGUGGAGGACUCCGCAGUGUCGCUGUGCUGAUUGGGAUGGCUUCUGCCAUCAGCUCCACCUCUUCUGGACUCAGCUACCCACCAGGCCUGCUUCCUGUCCCCUGGAAGCUUUCUUCCUCCGGAUUCAAAGACUAAGGAAUCCAAGGUAGUGUAGCACCCUGACUGGACUGGUGUGGAGCCUCUUCUGCUGAAAGCAGUGCUUCUGGAUUGAGGAGGAAAAAAAGGAUGGCACAACUGACACACAGGAUAUGUCAGCACACCUUAAAGGCAUGCUAAAGAAGUAACCCAGGGCUGGAGAAACAGCUCAGUUUAUUGUGUGCCUGCUACGAAAACAUGAAGACUUGUGUUCAGAUCUCCAGCAGCCAUCCAGGCUGGGAGCUGCACUGUGUGUCUGCAGCUCCAGGGCUGGAAAGGGGUGGGGCAGACAGAUCUGAAGCUUGUUGACUAGCCUAGACAAACCAAAGAGCUUCAGACUCAAUGACAGAAUAUUGUCUCAACAAACAAACAAACAAACAAACACAAACAAACAA